GUCGAGCGGAAACGAGUUGUCUGAACCUUCGGGGGACGAUAACGGCGUCGAGCGGCGGACGGGUGAGUAAUGCCUAGGAAAUUGCCCUGAUGUGGGGGAUAACCAUUGGAAACGAUGGCUAAUACCGCAUGAUGCCUACGGGCCAAAGAGGGGGACCUUCGGGCCUCUCGCGUCAGGAUAUGCCUAGGUGGGAUUAGCUAGUUGGUGAGGUAAGGGCUCACCAAGGCGACGAUCCCUAGCUGGUCUGAGAGGAUGAUCAGCCACACUGGAACUGAGACACGGUCCAGACUCCUACGGGAGGCAGCAGUGGGGAAUAUUGCACAAUGGGCGCAAGCCUGAUGCAGCCAUGCCGCGUGUGUGAAGAAGGCCUUCGGGUUGUAAAGCACUUUCAGUCGUGAGGAAGGUAGUGUAGUUAAUAGCUGCAUUAUUUGACGUUAGCGACAGAAGAAGCACCGGCUAACUCCGUGCCAGCAGCCGCGGUAAUACGGAGGGUGCGAGCGUUAAUCGGAAUUACUGGGCGUAAAGCGCAUGCAGGUGGUUUGUUAAGUCAGAUGUGAAAGCCCGGGGCUCAACCUCGGAAUUGCAUUUGAAACUGGCAGACUAGAGUACUGUAGAGGGGGGUAGAAUUUCAGGUGUAGCGGUGAAAUGCGUAGAGAUCUGAAGGAAUACCGGUGGCGAAGGCGGCCCCCUGGACAGAUACUGACACUCAGAUGCGAAAGCGUGGGGAGCAAACAGGAUUAGAUACCCUGGUAGUCCACGCCGUAAACGAUGUCUACUUGGAGGUUGUGGCCUUGAGCCGUGGCUUUCGGAGCUAACGCGUUAAGUAGACCGCCUGGGGAGUACGGUCGCAAGAUUAAAACUCAAAUGAAUUGACGGGGGCCCGCACAAGCGGUGGAGCAUGUGGUUUAAUUCGAUGCAACGCGAAGAACCUUACCUACUCUUGACAUCCAGAGAACUUUCCAGAGAUGGAUUGGUGCCUUCGGGAACUCUGAGACAGGUGCUGCAUGGCUGUCGUCAGCUCGUGUUGUGAAAUGUUGGGUUAAGUCCCGCAACGAGCGCAACCCUUAUCCUUGUUUGCCAGCGAGUAAUGUCGGGAACUCCAGGGAGACUGCCGGUGAUAAACCGGAGGAAGGUGGGGACGACGUCAAGUCAUCAUGGCCCUUACGAGUAGGGCUACACACGUGCUACAAUGGCGCAUACAGAGGGCAGCCAACUUGCGAAAGUGAGCGAAUCCCAAAAAGUGCGUCGUAGUCCGGAUUGGAGUCUGCAACUCGACUCCAUGAAGUCGGAAUCGCUAGUAAUCGUGGAUCAGAAUGCCACGGUGAAUACGUUCCCGGGCCUUGUACACACCGCCCGUCACACCAUGGGAGUGGGCUGCAAAAGAAGUAGGUAGUUUAACCUUCGGGGG
rnacentral:rRNA from 1 species